rnacentral:rRNA from 1 species
CAGUCGCGCGGUAAUACGAAGGGUGCAAGCGUUACUCGGAAUUACUGGGCGUAAAGCGUGCGUAGGUGGUGGUUUAAGUCCGUUGUGAAAGCCCUGGGCUCAACCUGGGAAUUGCAGUGGAUACUGGGUCACUAGAGUGUGGUAGAGGAUAGUGGAAUUUCCGGUGUAGCAGUGAAAUGCGUAGAGAUCGGAAGGAACAUCUGUGGCGAAGGCGACUAUCUGGGCCAACACUGACACUGAGGCACGAAAGCGUGGGGAGCAAACAGGAUUAGAUACCCCAGUAGUCCCUGUCUCUUAUACA